rnacentral:lncRNA from 1 species
GUGGGGAGUUAACGUUUCCUUGGGUCUGCAGACUUUCCAGAGAUAUGGUGUCUACUUAGGAGAAACAAAAUCAUAAAUGCAGCACUGUGUCCAGUUCUGCACCAGACGGCCAGAUGGUGCGGAAGGCAGACCUGCGGGGUGGAGGCCCCGGCGUGGGAGAGGGCGAGGUCGGCGGCUGGCCCCCGCCCCGGGCAGAUGGUCCGCGGAGUCGGGGCGAGGCGGGCCCCUGGCUCACAGAAGGCCGGAGGUGCGCGGUGGCCGUCGGCGGAUCCGGAGGCGGGUGCGCGGUCACAGGGUGCUCAGGUGCGGCAGCGCGUCCAGGGACCCGGCUCGGUCGCGCGCGGCGGCCGCAGACUCCACGCCGCGCAGCCACUCGGUGCACUUGCGCACCAGGCCCUCGUCGGCGGCCGCGGCCUCCUCCUCGUACUCCACGUCGUCGUACUUGUGCCGGUCGUUGAGCAGCGACACCUUGAGCAGCGGGCGCAGAGUCACUGUAUGAACAAAGAUUUUUCAUUAGAACAACUCUUUCAAAUAUUUCCAGGAUGAAUCAAGUAUAUGCAGAAAACACUCCAAUCAUUGAAGUAAAUGCCAAGAAGAGUACGCCCAGGCCGGGGUGAAACUGUCGCUCGCGGGUGACUGUCGCCCGGGUCUGAACUGAACUGGAAAGGAUGGAGGCUGUGCUGGGAUGACGUCACUGCAGCGAGGGGCCAGAGAUGCUCACACGUCGUGCCUGGAGCCCACAGGUACCCAGAGAUGAGAGGUGCUGUUUACCACACAGACGCUGCUCGUCUGGUCCUCACCCGGGAGCUGGCCCCUGAUCAAAUUCAGCCCGUGAGCCCGUCCCAAGGCCAGGAAAUCAGCAUUUACUCUAAGAAGGGUUUCGUCUUCCUCCCUAAGUUCUUGGUUCUACUACGGCACACACUUCAAUGUGCAGAAAAGUUUCAAAAGGGAAAACACACAAACAUAUUUCAAAAAGGAAAAACAAAAUUUCCAAAAGGGAAACACGCUGGUUUUGUUUUUGCAGUUACACUCUUUUCCCAUAAAUGCUGUAGUUCACUUGUAUGGUUUGAUUCAAAGUGUUUUACUUGCUGUAGUAAGAGGUACUCAAACAUCCAGAACCAAAACUCAAUCUGAAUUUGAAAACAUGGUAAGCUGAUUCUAGUUUUAAAAAUCCUAUUUCAGUCCUGAGAAAGAGAGAACUUCAGGUCAUAACUAAAGGAUGCCCAAAUUUCUUCCGAUACUGGCCUGUUACUCUGAAGGCUCUGGAACUAGGAACACAUGCAGGAGGUUGUUUCGCUGUUAUUUGCCGUGGAAAUCAUAAUCCACUUUAUCCGGAUUGCCCCACUGAGACCUCACGAGAGCCUUAUGGAGGAAACCCAGUAAAACCUGCCUCUUACAGACAAAGAAACCAAGGUUCGCCGACUAACCCCACCGUGGUUGGGCUGAGACCCGUCCAGGCAGUGCGGCCCCAAUACGCCCCCACCCAGCACCCCGGGGUC